rnacentral:rRNA from 1 species
UACGUAGGCGGGCAAUUAAGUCAGAGGUGAAAUCCCACAGCUCAACUGUGGAACUGCCUUUGAUACUGGUUGUCUUGAGUUAUAGUGAAGUAGAUAGAAUAUGUAGUGUAGCGGUGAAAUGCAUAGAUAUUACAUAGAGUACCGAUUGCGAAGGCAGUCUACUAACUGUACACUGACGCUAAUGGACGAAAGCGUGGGGAGCGAACAGGAUUAGAUACCCUGGUAGUCC